CCUACAUCAACACAAUUUUCAGUGCAAACAAUUAGAAGAAGAUAAUCCAUAUUGGCCUGUGAUUGUCUUCUAUAUGGGUACACUCACACACAAACACCGACACAUACACUCACAUGCACAAGCACUCUCUCUCUCAGACACACACACGCACAUGCACACACACACAAUCACCCACACGUGCACACACACACACACAGGCACACAUGAAUGAUCACAUCCACAUGCUUUGUAGACAGAUGUACAUCAUAUGAACACACCAAACAUAAUUUUUCAUUUGAGCAUAUGACUACUGUUGAUUUUUAAUACUUAAUUUUAAAUCAUAUAUUUAUGUAUGUGCUUCUCUCUGCAUAUGUACAUGUGAAUGCGGUUCCUAUGGAAUACAGAAGAUGACUUUUUCUUGGAUCUUCUAGAGUUGAAGUUACAGAUGAUUGUGAGCUUCUCAAAAUGUGUGGUGGAAAUUGAGGUUGGGUUCUCCAUAAGAACAAACAGGAAGUGUGCCGCGGUCGGCAAUCUUGGAGGUUCCAAGGAUCUGCGGGGGGACCCCUGUUGAGGACACGCGUGGAGCAGAGACGGGAUGGCGAACAGAGACACAGACACAGAGAGAGUGUGGUCAGCUGUUGUAACUUUAUUGAGAGAGCAUCAGACAUUUAUACACAAUUUUCAUUGUAUAACAAUCUUGGACCAUGGCCAAGAACAUUUGAUUUUUUUGUAAAAAGGUAUAGCUUGCUUUUUUUUCUUCAGACGAGCCGCAGUCAGCCAGCCUAGUCUAGUUUUCCGUUUGUCACAUCAAGGAGGAAGUUUCAGGGGACCGCAAGUCUGGCAUAUCUUACGCCAUCAGGUCUGUGUAUCUAGUUCUAUCGCUCUAGUUAACCCUUUGAUCUCAUCUUUGUUAGUCCUGUAGAUGUACAUCCAAGGCUUGGGGCAAUAAUAUUGUAUGUCUGAUCCCUGUCUAAAGUAUCUGAUGAUCUGUGACCUUACCUCCCAUUUCUCUUCUUCUGAGAGCACACACCAAGGAGGACGGGCUCUUGUCAAUCUUUCUGACCAAGGCAGUGACAAAUACCUGACCCUAUAUCCAUCCUUAGUAACCCACCUAUCAAAAUUCAAAUCAUAUUCUCUAGUAUAUGGUAAUGGAGCAUCCGUUGGUCGAUGCACAUAUGGUCCCCUGUAAGUACCUGGUUGCCACCACCUGUUUCUAUACUCUGUAAAAUAUUCAUAGCCGACCCAAAGCUCAAGGAAUCAUUUC